rnacentral:rRNA from 1 species
CCUACGGGAGACAGCAGUGGGGAAUAUUGGGCAAUGGGCGCAAGCCUGACCCAGCAACGCCGCGUGAAGGAAGAAGGCUUUCGGGUUGUAAACUUCUUUUCUCAGGGACGAAGCAAUUGACGGUACCUGAGGAAUAAGCCACGGCUAAAUACGUGCCAGCAGCCGCGGUAAUACGUAGGUGGCAAGCGUUAUCCGGAUUUAAUGGGUGUAAAGGGCGUGUAGGCGGGAAAGCAAGUCAGAUGUGAAAACCAUGGGCUCAACCUGUGGCCUGCAUUUGAAACUGUUUUUCUUGGAUACUGGGGAGGCAGACGGAAUUCCUAGUGUAGCGGUGAAAUGCGUAGAUAUUAGGAGGAACACCAGUGGCGAAGGCGGUCUGCUGGACAGCAACUGACGCUGAGGCGCGAAAGCGUGGGGAGCAAACAGGAUUAGAUACCCUUGUAGUC